GGGGAUGAAUUUGGCUUUCGACUCGAGUGAAUCGAGGUCGUAUAGCUGCUAUGUCGGGGUUGCAAUGUCCCCCGGAAGAUCCGUCAUUGCAAACAAUAAAUGCUAAAAAAUUAGAACUAGCUUUUGCUCGUGAAGCAGCUUCUGUUUCACCUACUCUAGCUUUCGCUUAAUUUAGCCCAGCCGGUCCAAUUGCGACUGGCGACUCUUGGCUUUGACGCCGCUGCAAGCUAAGAGCAAUUUCGCGGCUAGUGAUUAAGACCCGUUUCGCCUUAAUUGCAAAACUUAGAAACUAGAGCAUUCGUAUUUUUCGUUUGAUCUUGAUGCGCAUGUUCAAUUAAAAUUAGACCAAACUAUCAUAGUAGACGCUAGCGUUCUCCACUCCAGCACCCGGGUUCGACUCCCGGCAUCUCCACCA
rnacentral:tmRNA from 1 species